rnacentral:rRNA from 1 species
CGGCAAACUCCGUGCCAGCAGCCGCGGUAAUACGGAGGGGGCAAGCGUUGUUCGGAAUUAUUGGGCGUAAAGGGCAUGUAGGCGGUUCGGUAAGUUAAAGGUGAAAUGCCAGGGCUUAACCCUGGAGCUGCUUUUGAUACUGCCAGACUAGAGUCCGGGAGAGGAUAGCGGAAUUCCUAGUGUAGAGGUGAAAUUCGUAGAUAUUAGGAGGAACACCAGUGGCGAAGGCGGCUAUCUGGUCCGGUACUGACGCUGAGGUGCGAAAGCGUGGGGAGCAAACAGGAUUAAAUACCCUGGUAGUCCCC